CGAAAGCCUGACGGAGCAAGACCGCGUGAGGGAGGAAGGCUUUAGGGUUGUUAAACCUCUUUUAACGGGGAAGAAGAUCUGACGGUACCUGAGGAAUCAGCAUCGGCUAACUCCGUUGCCAGCAGCCGCGGUAAUACGGAGGAUGCAAGCGUUAUCCGGAAUCAUUGGGCGUAAAGCGUCCGCAGGUGGCAUUUCAAGUCGAUUGUCAAAGGCAAUAGCUCAACUCUGUGAUAGGCAGUGGAAACUGAACAGCUAGAGUACGGUAGGGGUAGAGGGAAUUCCCGGUGUAGCGGUGAAAUGCGUAGAUAUUGGGAAGAACAUCAGUGGCGAAAGCGCUCUGCUGGCCGCUAACUGACACUGAGGGACGAAAGCUAGGGGAGCG
rnacentral:rRNA from 1 species